GUUCCUGUAGUUGAAUCACAACGUUGGCUCUUCAAGUCACUGGUCUCGGUUAAAGUCUGAGUGGGAACU
rnacentral:tRNA from 1 species